rnacentral:lncRNA from 1 species
ACUUCAAUUUCAACAUUUCACAAAAAUCUAGGAUCGCUGAUACUUUCUCAAGUGAAUGAUAAAUAUAUCUGCUACAAUGCCUGACAAAUAAUCAGAAAGAACAUGUGCUAAGAACGACACCCCUGUUGAUAAAACUCACAUCUUCGAUGAAGACAUGGAAUGCAACCCACACAAAUCAAGGCAUGGUUUAGUUCUAUUUCUCGAAGAUUCACGAGUGUCGGCGGAAAGUCAGUUGUCUGAAUCACAAACCCAGAAUUGACGAAGAAUUUUUUCACAACCAACAUCGAAGUCUAGUCUCAGACACGAAGUUGUUUAGGAUUCGCAGGCGGCGGCGAUGCUGACGCCAUCCCAGAGGCGAUGCAGUUAGCAUUGCAAAACGACCACCAGCAGGUCUUCAGGCGAUGGAGCUGGUGACGAUGGCGGCGCCGACACCGCACACUCAGCCCUCCUCCUCCGAGGUGCGGAGACGCUCUCAGGAGUCGCGGGGAAAAGAGGUUCUACUGAGUCGGCCUGGCUACAACUGCACGAAGAGGAAGACCCACCUAGGUUCUUCUUCUUCUUAUAUUCGUGUCUGUGCUGGAGGCUCCAA